CAACUUCUAUGGCAAUAAAUUUGUACUUGGCAUCUGCUACCGCUUGAAAAGCCUGUUUAAAAAAAAAUGAAAGAACAUCCGCGACCAAUUCCGAAGCGAAUGGAAAAAAAUUCCUAUUCCAAAAUCUGGAGACCCUGGAAUUUCGGAGGAGGCUUACAGCCAUUACACUUCUUGGCCUCAUUUCACCAGUUUUGCUUUUUUUUAAAAGACCAGAUGAAACCGCGCAAAUUGGUUGGAAGUUUUGACGCAUCAUCACAAUUUUCCUUUCCAAAAGGAAAAUGGAUCCGAAACAAAAAUUAAUAUGCCGAAUGAAAAUUGAAAAAACAAUUUUUAAUUUUUCUUUUGACGGUGUUUCCGAUACCGACAAACUUAAUACACAAUAAAUAUAUUAAAAACUUACCUCAAUGUUAUAGGGCAGUAUAUGGUGUAUAAAAAAAUUUGGACAAUUCUUCAUCAAACGACUACUAAUUUUAUUUAUUAUAAAAUGAAAAGUCGAAAUAGACAUACGCGUAUAGGUAAGGAACCUAUCUGGGUAGUUUCGUAAAUCAUUGUAUAAA